UACGUAGGAGGCGAGCGUUGUCCGGAUUUACUGGGCGUAAAGCGCGCGCAGGCGGCACUUCAAGUAAGGUGUGAAAUCUCCCUGCUCAACGGGGAGGGUGCACUUUAGACUGAGGAGCUAGAGGAUGGUAGAGGGGGGUGGAAUUGCUGGUGUAGCGGUGAAAUGCGUAGAGAUCAGCAGGAACACCCGUGGCGAAGGCGGCCCCCUGGGCCGUACCUGACGCUGAGGCGCGAAGGCUAGGGGAGCAAACGGG
rnacentral:rRNA from 1 species